UGGAGGGCAAGUCUGGUGCCAGCAGCCGCGGUAAUUCCAGCUCCAAUAGCGUAUAUUAAAGUUGUUGCAGUUAAAAAGCUCGUAGUUGAAUUUCGGGAUCGGCAUGUCGGUCGUGCCUUACGGGGUAUGAACUGACAUCGUCGGUUUCUCACCUUCUGGAGAAUCGUGAUGCUCUUAAUUGGGUGUUACGUGGAUCCAGGACCUUUACCUUGAAAAAAAUUAGAGUGUUUAAAGCAGGC
rnacentral:rRNA from 1 species